GGAUGUGAGCAGGCGAUCUGGUUGCAACAUCUGUCUCCCCAGUGAUUGCCAGGGUUGAUUCAGCUGAUCUGGUGGGGCGGUAUCCACUUCCUCCCUCACUGCUCCACGAGUGUCCCUCCUGAUGACUGAAGAGAACCAUUCACCUUUGAUAGAGGAAGACUGUUUCCUUGAUCAAGGGCAUAUGAGUAUAGUAGAUGUCCUUUCGUGAUAGAACCUCCAAAUAAGCUUUCAAGAGUACAAAAAUAAAUGCUGGGGAAAAAAAAUGCUGGGGCUGGUGGUGUAUGUUUGUAAUACCAGCACUU
ensembl:misc_RNA 7SK 7SK RNA